GCAUGGUCGGCAGUUGGAAAGAAUUUCGGUCAGGGAUGAGCUCGCGGCCUAUCAGCUUGUUGGUGAGGUAAUGGCUCACCAAGGCGUCGACGGGUAGCCGGCCUGAGAGGGUGACCGGCCACACUGGGACUGAGACACGGCCCAGACUCCUACGGGAGGCAGCAGUGGGGAAUAUUGCACAAUGGGCGCAAGCCUGAUGCAGCAACGCCGCGUGAGGGAUGACGGCCUUCGGGUUGUAAACCUCUUUUAGCAGGGAAGAAGCGAAAGUGACGGUACCUGCAGAAAAAGCGCCGGCUAACUACGUGCCAGCAGCCGCGGUAAUACGUAGGGCGCAAGCGUUAUCCGGAAUUAUUGGGCGUAAAGAGCUCGUAGGCGGUCUGUCGCGUCUGCUGUGAAAACCCGAGGCUCAACCUCGGGCCUGCAGUGGGUACGGGCAGACUAGAGUGCGGUAGGGGAGAUUGGAAUUCCUGGUGUAGCGGUGGAAUGCGCAGAUAUCAGGAGGAACACCGAUGGCGAAGGCAGAUCUCUGGGCCGUAACUGACGCUGAGGAGCGAAAGGGUGGGGAGCAAACAGGCUUAGAUACCCUGGUAGUCCACCCCGUAAACGUUGGGAACUAGUUGUGGGGUCCAUUCCACGGAUUCCGUGACGCAGCU
rnacentral:rRNA from 1 species